rnacentral:rRNA from 1 species
AGGGCGUAUGGGGGAUGCCUUGGCUCUCAGAGGCGAAGAAGGACGUGAUAAGCUGCGAUAAGCUGCGGGGAUUGGCACAUACGAAUUAAUCCGCAGAUUUCCGAAUGGGACAACCCACUUAGUUGAAGACUAAGUAUCCUGUAGCAAUACAGGAGGCAAACCCGCUGAACUGAAACAUCUAAGUAAGCGGAGGAAGAGAAAACAAUAGUGAUUGCGUAAGUAGUGGCGAGCGAACGCGCAUUAGCCCAAACCAGCUUGGUUACGGCCAGGCUGGGGUUGUAGGACUGCAACAUCACUUUAAAAUUGAACUGGAACGUUUUGGAAAGAACGACCAUAGGGGGUGAAAGUCCCGUACAGGUAAGGUUUUAAAGUGUAGCAGUAUCCUGAGUAGGGGGGGACCGGAGAAAUCCCCUCUGAAUCUGCCGGCACCAUCCGGUAAGGCUAAAUACUCCUGAGAGACCGAUAGCGAACUAGUACUGUGAAGGAAAGGUGAAAAGUACCCUGAAUAAGGGGGUGAAAUAGACCCUGAAACCAUACGCUUACAAGCGGUCGGAGCAGAUAAGUUCUGUGACGGCGUGCCUUUUGCAUAAUGAGCCUACGAGUUACUCUUCACUGGCAAGGUUAAGUGCUUUAAAGUACGUAGCCGGAGCGAAAGCGAGUCUGAACAGGGCGUGCUAGUCAGUGGAGGUAGACGCGAAACCUUGUGAUCUACCCAUGAGCAGGUUGAAGGUUGGGUAAAACCAACUGGAGGACCGAACCAGUAAACGUUGAAAAGUUUUUGGAUGACUUGUGGGUAGGGGUGAAAGGCCAAUCAAACUGGGAAAUAGCUCGUACUCCCCGAAAUGCCUUUAGGGGCAGCGUGGGAUGAUGUCUUACAGAGGUAGAGCUACCAAUAGGACUAGGGGGAGUCACAUCCUACCAAAUCCUGAUGAACUCCGAAUGCUGAUAAGAUUAAUCCUGCAGUGAGGGUAAGGGUGCUAAGGUCCUUAUCCGAGAGGGAAAGAACCCAGACCAACAGCUAAGGUCCCAAAAUCUACACUAAGUUGAACUAAGGUGGUCCAGUUGCCGAGACAGCCAGGAUGUUGGCUUGGAAGCAGCCAUUCAUUUAAAGAGUGCGUAACAGCUCACUGGUCGAGCGACAGGGCAUCGAUAAUAAUCGGGCAUCAAGUGUAGUACCGAAGCUUUGGAUUGUACAGCAAUGUACACUGGUAGGGGAGCAUUCUAGUCAGCGCAGAAGCUAUGUGGUGAUGCAUGGUGGAGCGGCUAGAAAAGCAAAUGUAGGCAUAAGUAACGAUAAUGCGGGCGAGAAACCCGCACACCGAAAGACUAAGGUUUCCGCAGCAAUGCUAAUCAGCUGCGGGUUAGUCGGGACCUAAGGCGAAGCCGAAAGGCGUAGUCGAUGGACAACAGGUUAAUAUUCCUGUACUGGCUGCAAGAAGUGAUGGGGUGACGGAGUAGUGAAAUUCCUGCGCACUGACGGAAUAGUGCGUUGAAGGCCGUAGUUAUAUCUUUGGUAGGCAAAUCCGCUGAGGAUGAUGAAAGCCGAUAGUACUCCAAGGCUUCGGCCAAGGAGAUAAUGGAGCUAAUCAGACUUCCGAGAAAACCCUCUAAGCGUUUAUCUUGCAGGCACCCGUACCGUAAACCGACACAGGUAGUCGGGGUGAGAAUCCUAAGGUGCUCGAGUGAUUCAUGGCUAAGGAACUAGGCAAAAUGGCCCUGUAACUUCGGGAGAAGGGGCGCUUCCUCCGUCAAAGGAGAAGCCGCAGUGAAAAGGCCCAGGCGACUGUUUAGCAAAAACACAUGGCUUUGCGAAAUCGAAAGAUGAAGUAUAAGGCCUGACACCUGCCCGGUGCUGGAAGGUUAAGGGGGGAUGUUAGGGAGUAAUCCCGAAGCAUUGAACUGAAGCCCCAGUAAACGGCGGCCGUAACUAUAACGGUCCUAAGGUAGCGAAAUUCCUUGUCGGGUAAGUUCCGACCUGCACGAAUGGUGUAACGAUCUGGGCACUGUCUCGGCCAUGAGCUCGGUGAAAUUGUAGUAGCGGUGAAGAUGCCGCUUACCCGCAACGGGACGGAAAGACCCCAUGAACCUUUACUAUAGCUUCACAUUGACAUUGGGUAACUGAUGUGUAGGAUAGGCCGGAGGCUUUGAAGCGGUGUCGCCAGGCAUCGUGGAGCCGCCCUUGAAAUACGGCCCUUUGGUUAUCUGAUGCCUAACCCCAAUGGGGGACAGUGUGUGGUGGGUAGUUUGACUGGGGUGGUCGCCUCCAAAAGAGUAACGGAGGCUUUCAAAGGUACCCUCAGUACGAUUGGUAACCGUACGUGGAGCGCAAUAGCAUAAGGGUGCUUGACUGUGAGACCUACAAGUCGAGCAGGGUCGAAAGACGGAUAUAGUGAUCCGGUGGUUCCGCAUGGAAGGGCCAUCGCUCAAAGGAUAAAAGGUACUCUGGGGAUAACAGGCUGAUCUCCCCCAAGAGCUCACAUCGACGGGGAGGUUUGGCACCUCGAUGUCGGCUCGUCACAUCCUGGGGCUGGAGAAGGUCCCAAGGGUUGGGCUGUUCGCCCAUUAAAGUGGCACGCGAGCUGGGUUCAGAACGUCGUGAGACAGUUCGGUCCCUAUCUGUUGUGGGCGUAGGAAGCUUGAGAGGACCUGAUUUUAGUACGAGAGGACCGAAUUGGACAAGCCGCUGGUGUAUCGGUUGUGCCGCCAGGUGCAGUGCCGAGUAGCUAUGCUUGGAAGAGAUAAGCGCUGAAAGCAUCUAAGCGCGAAACUCCCCUCAAGAUGAGGCUUCCCUAAAGGGUGGUUGUAGACGACAACCUCGAUAGGCUACAGGUGUAAAGGUAGAAAUACCAUAGCUGAGUAGUACUAAUUACCCGAGAACUUUCUCU